CGCGGGCGCGCGCCCACGUGACCACCUUCCCCUAAAUAAAGUUGAACAGUUCUUGGUUGCGCACAGUUGCUGAGGGAGACAUCGGCUCCAGUGAGCUUCUCUUGCUGCAGCAGUUUCCAGCUGGCACCUCUGCCCCCUUCGCACAAUCCUGCACCUUUGGAACAGCGGCAUCAUCCAGAGCCCAGCUCAGUUGAACCGCCCAGCUCCUGAAGUAGCAUACUGGAGAUUGCAUUCAUUUUUCAUAUGAGAGAAUCCAAGUCAAGUCUUCUUUAGUCAUCUUCAAGUUGGGGACUGUGAGAGAACAAGUUUCAUUGUUGCCUUUUCUUCCAAUGAGAUCAUCCUUCAACUUAGGAUUCAUGCCUGCCUUCUGGACUUCUGAGGACUAUGAGAAUAUUAAUAAGAUGAAUGCAACCAUCCAGGCUGAAGCCACCCAUCUGGAUGCUCCCCUCUCCUCCAUGGUGGCCCUGAUAAUAGUGUUGAUAAUUAUUUUCUCAUUGGUAAUGACCUCCUUUGUGACAUACUGUUUUCACAAGUGGAAGCUGAGGGGCCGCAAACUGCAGAGAGCCCUGGAAGAGUAUCAAAGAGAUCAAGAGAAAAAUAUAUUUCAUAGCCCUCCUGAUCUUAUUUCUUAAAAUAUUGUAAACUGACAAUCGGAGGGCACCAUCUGAAACAAAGCAACAUGACAAGAAAGAACAAGAAAUGGAACAACAUGAAAUAAGAAGAAAUUAGAUGUGAAAACAAGAUGAAGUAAAACCAUAGGCAACAAAAUGACAUGCUGCAAAAUGACAGGAAGUGAAAGGGGAGGAGGAGAAUGAUAAUUGUACAACAACUCUAAAACAAGAGUUCAUGUCAUAGUUCUGUUAAUCCAACUGUUCAUUGUUUGACAGUUGCCUAUAGUUUCAUUAUAUAAGCAACUUGGUGAUAGUUUUUUUUUUCCCUUUCUUUGUGUAUUUGUUUUGUUUGGUGUACAGUGAAAGCAAAACCAUCAUGUAUUUUACAUCUUCAUUUUAUUUACCAACAACCUUUGGAUUGCUGAUGGAUGUGACUAAAUAAAAGUUCUAUACUGAUCAUUUACCUAUGAAAGAUGGCCAGAUGAAUAUAAAGAUAAGAACCUUGAUAUCAGGCAUAUAAUAUGGUAGUUUUAUUUUCCGGCUAGUAAUGUUUGCAUUGAAGAUAAGAAAAAGAUUGCAUAAUCAUAGCACAUGUAACAGUGUAAGUACUGACUGUAACAAAAUAUCUAGAUGUGUUGAAAUGUAGGCAAUAUGUGUUUUAUAAAAAGGAGAAGAAAAUAAGUCCCAACUACCUAAUAACCCCAUCUCCUGAAGUUUUGCUUAAGUUAUAGAUUGCUUGAAAUUAAUAUUAAUUAAUAUAUAUGUUUGAAGCAAAAUUCUUUUCUGGUAAUAAUGCUGUAUGUAUACAUGUUUCGGUAAAAAAAACUUGUCAUAAUAUGAAUGAGAUGGUUUUUAACAGUAUGUGCUAUGUAAGUAUUGCUAACAAUUAAAAUGUGAAAUUUUCUUGGAUGUUAUAAAUGAAAUCUAUUAGA